GGGGCCGUCUCAUACCAAGCGACGUUACAACAUGGAAGAGUUGGCUAAUGCCGUUUGGGAUGAAUUUGGAUUUAAUUACAACAUGGAUUAGUUUCAUUUUGUGUUUCUGCGAUGGAAUGUGCAUGCUGUAAAGAACGUUUCGAGGAUAAAAGUGGACGGUUGCGUAGAACAGGAAUUUGUGCACAAUUCAAAGGUGGGCCCAGUGCUGCACAGACAUUAAGUGAUGUUUUUGAUGUAACUGUGACUCCCGAAAAGGAAUUAUUCGUCUGUGUCCAAUGUAGUUUGACGAUUCGUUCCUUGGACAUAAAAAAAAACAAAAACAAUUGUCAACUGUGGAGAUAAAAUUUAGAAAAGUUAAAAAACCAGGCUCAUACAUAGCCACAAAAGUGCCAGCCACCCCAAGUGCCCGACAAACACCAAAGCGACAGAGAGUGGUACACACGCCAAGCAGGCAUACCAGUCGUAGAUCAAAGACUUUUUCACCUGGAGAAAAGAUUGUGUGCAAUCUCCUUUUCCAGAAUGACUGACUCGUUAAAUCGAUACUAAGAAAAGUCACCGUGAUGGUGGACGAAACGACCGAUUCAGCCAACAUCGAGCAAGUUGUUAUAUGUUUGCGCUGGGUUGAUGGCACCGACAUGCAAGCAUAUGAGGAAUUCAUCUGCCUUUAUACUGUCGCCUCUACAAGUGCAGACACUUUGCUGUCUGUCAUACUCGAUGUUCUUGCGUUAAUGAAUUUUUCUGUUAACCGAAUACGUUGUCAAUGCUACGAUGGAGCAUCUGCUAUGUCGCGGAUUAAAUCUGGUAUCGCAAAACAAAUAACGAAGUGUGAGCCAAGUGCUGUUUUCACCCAUUGCUAUGGCCAAGCACUGAACCUCGCCUGCGGUGACACAAUCAAAAACUCUUAACUGGAUGAAAGAUGUGUUGGAUAUUACGCAUGAGAUUACACAAUUGGUGAAACUUUCUGCUCGACGUGAAGCCACGUUCAAAGUCUUGAAAGAAGAUAUUGCCCCAGAUAGUCCAGUCAUUCGAAUGCUGUGCCCAACAAGAUGGACUAUCAACGCAGAUGCCUUGGACAGUAUCGCCAAAAGUUACGGAGCCUUGCAUGCAUCUCUGGUAUUCGUCAAAGAAACCGAAAUGAGAGCCCGUAAUUUAGGACUAUCUUCCUUCGUGGACAAAUUUGAUUUAUUUUUUCUUUGGCAUUAAACUGGGCAGUAAAAUACUCAGACUUCCACACAACCUCAGCAGGUCGUUGAUGUCCAAUGAUUUAUCACCAGCUGAGGACCAGACGCUUGCUGAAAUGACCUGUGAAACACUGGCUUCUUUCAGGACUGCGGACGUUUGCUUCAUUCUUGAAAACUGUGGUCAGAGAGACUGGCGUCAAUGAUCCUGCGCUCCCAAGGGAAAAGAAAGCUCCAAAAACAAAAACAAAAAGACAUAGAGCUGGCUUUGCCUGAGUAUCUGACUCCGAGAACCGAUUGCAGCUGUUUGGUAAAUUCAAUUGACA